rnacentral:rRNA from 1 species
GACGAACGCUGGCGGCGUGCUUAACACAUGCAAGUCGUACGGUAAGGCCCUUUCGGGGGUACACGAGUGGCGAACGGGUGAGUAACACGUGAGUAACCUGCCCACAACUUUGGGAUAACGCUAGGAAACUGGUGCUAAUACUGGGUAUGUGCUCCUGCUGCAUGGUGGGGGUUGGAAAGCUCCGGCGGUUGUGGAUGGACUCGCGGCCUAUCAGCUUGUUGGUGGGGUAGUGGCCUACCAAGGCGGCGACGGGUAGCCGGCCUGAGAGGGUGACCGGCCACAUUGGGACUGAGAUACGGCCCAGACUCCUACGGGAGGCAGCAGUGGGGAAUAUUGCACAAUGGGCGCAAGCCUGAUGCAGCAACGCCGCGUGCGGGAUGACGGCCUUCGGGUUGCAAACCGCUUUCAGCAGGGACGAAGCUUUUUGUGACGGUACCUGCAGAAGAAGCACCGGCUAACUACGUG